UACGUAGGGGGCAAGCGUUGUCCGGAAUCAUUGGGCGUAAAGGGCGCGUAGGCGGAUAUUUAAGUCUGGUGUGAAAACCUAGGGCUCAACCCUGGGACUGCAUCGGAAACUGGGUAUCUUGAGGACAGGAGAGGAAAGUGGAAUUCCACGUGUAGCGGUGAAAUGCGUAGAUAUGUGGAGGAACACCAGUGGCGAAGGCGACUUUCUGGACUGUAACUGACGCUGAGGCGCGAAAGCGUGGGGAGCAAACAGGAUUAGAUACCCUGGUAGUCCACGCCAUAAACGAUGAGUGCUAGGUGUAGAGGGUAUCGACCCCUUCUGUGCCGCAGUUAACACAAUAAGCACUCCGCCUGGGGAGUACGGCCGCAAGGUUGAA
rnacentral:rRNA from 1 species